GAUGAACGCUGGCGGCGUGCCUAAUACAUGCAAGUCGAGCGAACAGACGAGGCGCUUUCUCCUCUGACGUUAGCGGCGGACGGGUGAGUAACACGUGGAUAACCUACCUAUAAGACUGGGAUAACUUCGGGAAACCGGAGCUAAUACCGGAUUAUAUAUUGAACCGCAUGGUUCAAUAGUGAAAGACGGUUUUGCUGUCACUUAUAGCUGGAUCCGCGCCGCAUUAGCUAGUUGGUAAGGUAACGGCUUACCAAGGCAACGAUGCGUAGCCGACCUGAGAGGGUGAUCGGCCACACUGGAACUGAGACACGGUCCAGACUCCUACGGGAGGCAGCAGUAGGGAAUCUUCCGCAAUGGGCGAAAGCCUGACGGAGCAACGUCGCGUGAGUGAUGAAGGUCUUCGGAUCGUAAAACUCUGUUAUUAGGGAAGAACAAAUGUGUAAGUAACUAUGCACGUCUUGACGGUACCUAAUCAGAAAGCCACGGCUAACUACGUG
rnacentral:rRNA from 1 species